CCUCCCCACCACACCCAUCAGUGAUGGAGGUGUGGCAGGAUGAGAGUCCUAAUCCCUUGUAAAGCAUAUUCUCCUCGUUUGGCUCUUGUGAGCCUGUCACCACCAGGGGCACCCUAUAAAAGGGCAGAGGUUUCUAGCUGGCUGUCUCUUGUUUGUUGGUACACAGACCCGCCCCACUUGCGUGUUGCUUCCGCCACCGGUGCAGGUAUGUUGCAGUAGCAUUGCUUGCUUCAGGAAAGGUUCUGCAAUUUACCAGCGUAUUGAUACUUAGCCCUGCUUUGCCUCACCUAGUGGAGGAUCCUCCAGGUGCAGCCUGUCAACGCAGCCAUAAAAAGCAUGAAGCUCUCCCCUCUCUGCGUUAUCGAUAGGAAAGCCUGAUCGGGCCAAUCCAAUGGUUAAGGGACUUCUGCUGUUUUGCUUCACCGGAGAAAGUAUGUGUAUCGGCAGUAACGUCACAACUGCUGUUGAUCCUGCCUAGAUGUUGGGCUACUGUUACCACAUUGUGGCUUCUGAUUGCUGCUUCUGGCCAGCUUUGCGUCGCCUACUGCGGAGGCUUGCUCACCAGUUAAAGUGCUGCUUUAACUGCACGCCUUCCUACUGCCUUGCUUGGGCCGACACUCGAAGUGGAAGUCACUGAACUCUGGGGCUAACUCCCUCUAUAACUUGUCCUUACUUUGGCCAACUUGAUUUAAAUUAGUUUGUUUAUUUUAUUCUAGUUAAUUGUUUAUUUUGUUUAACUGAACCUUUUCUCUUUUGAUUUGUUUUAUUCUUAAAUGUUUACACAAGUUAUCAUCUGCUUAUGAGAACAUAUUUGAUAUUGUGUUUGUUUAUUACUUUGAUUUACGUAUUUAGCCCCCAUUAACUGCGUUGCCCUCUUGUUUCGCUACUUAGUUACUGAGAGCUGAAGGUGGUGGUGCUGGUGUCCAAGGUGGUGGUUUUCCUCUUCUUUUGUGUGUGAUGUGCUCCCCCGGGAUUUGAUUUCCUGCACGUAUGACUGGGGUGAUUUAAGUUUGGUUUGUUUGGGGAUCCUUCCACUCACUCGUCGACCCUAUCCCCCCACUGGUAAGCCUCAGCCCCUAAUUCAUUUUUCCCCUUUGUGCUACAGCCCUGUGCGACUGUUUUUAACUGCAUUUUAACUAGUGACUUGUGCCAAAUAAAAUUGUAUAUUUUUGAUAACUUGAAA